AUUGAACGCUGGCGGCAGGCCUAACACAUGCAAGUCGGACGGUAGCACAGAGAGCUUGCUCUCGGGUGACGAGUGGCGGACGGGUGAGUAAUGUCUGGGAAACUGCCCGAUGGAGGGGGAUAACUACUGGAAACGGUAGCUAAUACCGCAUAACGUCUUCGGACCAAAGUGGGGGACCUUCGGGCCUCACACCAUCGGAUGUGCCCAGAUGGGAUUAGCUAGUAGGUGGGGUAAUGGCUCACCUAGGCGACGAUCCCUAGCUGGUCUGAGAGGAUGACCAGCCACACUGGAACUGAGACACGGUCCAGACUCCUACGGGAGGCAGCAGUGGGGAAUAUUGCACAAUGGGCGCAAGCCUGAUGCAGCCAUGCCGCGUGUAUGAAGAAGGCCUUCGGGUUGUAAAGUACUUUCAGCGGGGAGGAAGGCGGUGAAGUUAAUAACUUCACCGAUUGACGUUACCCGCAGAAGAAGCACCGGCUAACUCCGUGCCAGCAGCCGCAGUAA
rnacentral:rRNA from 1 species